AGUUAAUGAGCUUGAAUUUAAGCAUAUGUUUUGAAAACAUAAGAUAGAAAGUAAAAUCUUCUAUUAACUU
rnacentral:tRNA from 1 species